rnacentral:rRNA from 1 species
ACAGAGGGUGCAAACGUUGCUCGGAAUUACUGGGCGUAAAGCGCGUGUAGGUGGAUUGGUGUGUCAGAUGUGAAAGCCCUGGGCUCAACCCAGGAACUGCACCUGAAACUACCAGUCUUGAGUGGUGGAGAGGGAAGUGGAAUUCCUGGUGUAGAGGUGAAAUUCGUAGAUAUCAGGAGGAACACCAGUGGCGAAGGCGGCUUCCUGGACACUAACUGACGCUGAGACGCGAAAGCGUGGGGAGCAAACAGGA